rnacentral:rRNA from 1 species
CGCGCAGGCGGGUGGAUAAGUCGGGUGUGAAAUCUGUGGGCUCAACCUACAGCCUGCAUCCGAAACUGUUCACCUUGAGUACAGGAGAGGAGAGUGGAAUCUCAGGUGUAGCGGUGAAAUGCGUAGAUAUCUGAGAGAACACCAGUGGCGAAGGCGGCUCUCUGGCCUGAUACUGACGCUGAGGCGCGAAAGCUAGGGGAGCAAACA